rnacentral:rRNA from 1 species
GGGUUGUGAGGUUAAGCGACUAAGCGUACACGGUGGAUGCCCUGGCAGUCAGAGGCGAUGAAGGACGUGCUAAUCUGCGAUAAGCGUCGGUAAGGUGAUAUGAACCGUUAUAACCGGCGAUUUCCGAAUGGGGAAACCCAGUGUGUUUCGACACACUAUCAUUAACUGAAUCCAUAGGUUAAUGAGGCGAACCGGGGGAACUGAAACAUCUAAGUACCCCGAGGAAAAGAAAUCAACCGAGAUUCCCCCAGUAGCGGCGAGCGAACGGGGAGCAGCCCAGAGUCUGAAUCAGUGUGUGUGUUAGUGGAAGCGUCUGGAAAGGCGCGCGAUACAGGGUGACAGCCCCGUACACAAAAAUGCACAUGCUGUGAGCUCGAUGAGUAGGGCGGGACACGUGGUAUCCUGUCUGAAUAUGGGGGACCAUCCUCCAAGGCUAAAUACUCCUGACUGACCGAUAGUGAACCAGUACCGUGAGGGAAAGGCGAAAAGAACCCCGGCGAGGGGAGUGAAAAAGAACCUGAAACCGUGUACGUACAAGCAGUGGGAGCACGCUUAGGCGUGUGACUGCGUACCUUUUGUAUAAUGGGUCAGCGACUUAUAUUCUGUAGCAAGGUUAACCGAAUAGGGGAGCCGAAGGGAAACCGAGUCUUAACUGGGCGUUAAGUUGCAGGGUAUAGACCCGAAACCCGGUGAUCUAGCCAUGGGCAGGUUGAAGGUUGGGUAACACUAACUGGAGGACCGAACCGACUAAUGUUGAAAAAUUAGCGGAUGACUUGUGGCUGGGGGUGAAAGGCCAAUCAAACCGGGAGAUAGCUGGUUCUCCCCGAAAGCUAUUUAGGUAGCGCCUCGUGAAUUCAUCUCCGGGGGUAGAGCACUGUUUCGGCAAGGGGGUCAUCCCGACUUACCAACCCGAUGCAAACUGCGAAUACCGGAGAAUGUUAUCACGGGAGACACACGGCGGGUGCUAACGUCCGUCGUGAAGAGGGAAACAACCCAGACCGCCAGCUAAGGUCCCAAAGUCAUGGUUAAGUGGGAAACGAUGUGGGAAGGCCCAGACAGCCAGGAUGUUGGCUUAGAAGCAGCCAUCAUUUAAAGAAAGCGUAAUAGCUCACUGGUCGAGUCGGCCUGCGCGGAAGAUGUAACGGGGCUAAACCAUGCACCGAAGCUGCGGCAGCGACGCUUAUGCGUUGUUGGGUAGGGGAGCGUUCUGUAAGCCUGUGAAGGUGUGCUGUGAGGCAUGCUGGAGGUAUCAGAAGUGCGAAUGCUGACAUAAGUAACGAUAAAGCGGGUGAAAAGCCCGCUCGCCGGAAGACCAAGGGUUCCUGUCCAACGUUAAUCGGGGCAGGGUGAGUCGACCCCUAAGGCGAGGCCGAAAGGCGUAGUCGAUGGGAAACAGGUUAAUAUUCCUGUACUUGGUGUUACUGCGAAGGGGGGACGGAGAAGGCUAUGUUGGCCGGGCGACGGUUGUCCCGGUUUAAGCGUGUAGGCUGGUUUUCCAGGCAAAUCCGGAAAAUCAAGGCUGAGGCGUGAUGACGAGGCACUACGGUGCUGAAGCAACAAAUGCCCUGCUUCCAGGAAAAGCCUCUAAGCAUCAGGUAACAUCAAAUCGUACCCCAAACCGACACAGGUGGUCAGGUAGAGAAUACCAAGGCGCUUGAGAGAACUCGGGUGAAGGAACUAGGCAAAAUGGUGCCGUAACUUCGGGAGAAGGCACGCUGAUAUGUAGGUGAAGUCCCUCGCGGAUGGAGCUGAAAUCAGUCGAAGAUACCAGCUGGCUGCAACUGUUUAUUAAAAACACAGCACUGUGCAAACACGAAAGUGGACGUAUACGGUGUGACGCCUGCCCGGUGCCGGAAGGUUAAUUGAUGGGGUUAGCCGCAAGGCGAAGCUCUUGAUCGAAGCCCCGGUAAACGGCGGCCGUAACUAUAACGGUCCUAAGGUAGCGAAAUUCCUUGUCGGGUAAGUUCCGACCUGCACGAAUGGCGUAAUGAUGGCCAGGCUGUCUCCACCCGAGACUCAGUGAAAUUGAACUCGCUGUGAAGAUGCAGUGUACCCGCGGCAAGACGGAAAGACCCCGUGAACCUUUACUAUAGCUUGACACUGAACAUUGAGCCUUGAUGUGUAGGAUAGGUGGGAGGCUUUGAAGUGUGGACGCCAGUCUGCAUGGAGCCGACCUUGAAAUACCACCCUUUAAUGUUUGAUGUUCUAACGUGGACCCGUAAUCCGGGUUGCGGACAGUGUCUGGUGGGUAGUUUGACUGGGGCGGUCUCCUCCUAAAGAGUAACGGAGGAGCACGAAGGUUGGCUAAUCCUGGUCGGACAUCAGGAGGUUAGUGCAAUGGCAUAAGCCAGCUUGACUGCGAGCGUGACGGCGCGAGCAGGUGCGAAAGCAGGUCAUAGUGAUCCGGUGGUUCUGAAUGGAAGGGCCAUCGCUCAACGGAUAAAAGGUACUCCGGGGAUAACAGGCUGAUACCGCCCAAGAGUUCAUAUCGACGGCGGUGUUUGGCACCUCGAUGUCGGCUCAUCACAUCCUGGGGCUGAAGUAGGUCCCAAGGGUAUGGCUGUUCGCCAUUUAAAGUGGUACGCGAGCUGGGUUUAGAACGUCGUGAGACAGUUCGGUCCCUAUCUGCCGUGGGCGCUGGAGAACUGAGGGGGGCUGCUCCUAGUACGAGAGGACCGGAGUGGACGCAUCACUGGUGUUCGGGUUGUCAUGCCAAUGGCACUGCCCGGUAGCUAAAUGCGGAAGAGAUAAGUGCUGAAAGCAUCUAAGCACGAAACUUGCCCCGAGAUGAGUUCUCCCUGACCCUUUAAGGGUCCUGAAGGAACGUUGAAGACGACGACGUUGAUAGGCCGGGUGUGUAAGCGCAGCGAUGCGUUGAGCUAACCGGUACUAAUGAACCGUGAGGCUUAACCUUACAACGCCGAAG